rnacentral:rRNA from 1 species
CCUACGGGAGGCAGCAGUGGGGAAUAUUGCACAAUGGGCGAAAGCCUGAUGCAGCGACGCCGCGUGAGGGAUGACGGCCUUCGGGUUGUAAACCUCUUUCAGCAGGGAAGAAGCGCAAGUGACGGUACCUGCAGAAGAAGCACCGGCUAACUACGUGCCAGCAGCCGCGGUAAUACGUAGGGUGCGAGCGUUGUCCGGAAUUAUUGGGCGUAAAGAGCUCGUAGGCGGCUUGUCGCGUCGGAUGUGAAAGCCCGGGGCUUAACUCCGGGUCUGCAUUCGAUACGGGCAGGCUAGAGUUCGGUAGGGGAGAUCGGAAUUCCUGGUGUAGCGGUGAAAUGCGCAGAUAUCAGGAGGAACACCGGUGGCGAAGGCGGAUCUCUGGGCCGAUACUGACGCUGAGGAGCGAAAGCGUGGGGAGCGAACAGGAUUAGAUACCCUGGUAGUCCACGCCGUAAACGUUGGGAACUAGGUGUGGGCGACAUCACGUCGUCGUCGCGCNGCUACGCAUUACGUUACCCGUCCGUCGGGAGGUACGGCCGCCGACGGACGUAAACUACAAGGAAGUUAGACGGCGUGAGACGUGCCGAACGGACGACGACGAGGGAGGUAGG